GACGAACGCUGGCGGCGUGCUUAACACAUGCAAGUCGAACGGUAAGGCUCCAGCUUGCUGGGGUACACGAGUGGCGAACGGGUGAGUAACACGUGGGUGACCUGCCCUGCACUUCGGGAUAAGCCUGGGAAACUGGGUCUAAUACCGGAUAGGACCAUUGUGUGGAUACUGUGGUGGAAAGUUUUUUCGGUGUGGGGUGGGCCCGCGGCCUAUCCGCUUGUUGGUGGGGUAUUGGCCUACCAAGGCGGCGACGGGUAGCCGGCCUGAGAGGGUGGACGGCCACAUUGGGCCUGAGACACGGCCCAGACUCCUACGGGAGGCAGCAGUGGGGAAUAUUGCACAAUGGGCGGAAGCCUGAUGCAGCGACGCCGCGUGGGUGAUGACGGCCUUCGGGUUGUAAACUUCUUUCACCAUCGACGAAGGGUUUCUGACGGUAGAUGGAGAAGAAGCACCGGCUAACUACGUG
rnacentral:rRNA from 1 species